CAUACCGUUACGUUGCCUNGGCAGGUCGCGCCUACCCUG
rnacentral:rRNA from 1 species